UCCUAUGGAAACCGAGCCUGCGCAGGUGGCUCACAGGAGGCUCUAACUGUUGGCAAAUUCGGAAGUUUUUAAAGAUGCUUAUUUAUUUUAUUAUAUUUGUUGGUAGACUUGGCUCGGCUGUUAAAGACCUUGUUUUUGUGUCCCAGUGGGGGGUGAAAAGAUGUUUUGUGAAAGGAACAGUUGAGUGACCAAUUUUUGCACCGAAUUUUUUUUAUCUGGGGUUUGUGAACAUUCUUGCGCUUCUCACAAGGAGCCCUAAUUAGAUGCAGCUCUCCCCAACGCCCCCCCCCCCGCCCCCCAGGCUCAUACUAUAGCUGAAGCGUGAACCUAUUUUUUCUGCACACUGUAAUAAGGUUUGAAUUUAGAUGUGGAAACUGACUUCGGAGGAGCCAAGUCUUACCCAUAGUUUCCUAGCUGGGGCCAACCACUGCCACAGGACUGAGGGAAUGGUUACAUAAAUCUGCGGAGCCCACUGCAAAAUGAAAAUCUGUUCCUCAAAGCCCUGCUGUUUGAAUCCCUGUUACCACUGCACUGAAACUGUGUUUGUCACUGUUACCAGUGACCUCCCAGGUGCUCAUUAUACUUUUGAUUGUUCACAGUAUGAGAUAUCACCCCUUUCUGUUGCCGGGAUUGACUCACCUGAAUGUGUUGGCUCAGCCAGUGACCCCCUUCCUCUUUGUCUUCUCACAUUUAUCAUUGUCUAAGCUAGAAGCCUUGCCAAAUAGAUGGACUAUGUAGAGGUUGCUUCAUGCUAGACUUUUUCAUACCUUACCUUGGUCAUGUGAAUACUAUUGAUUCAAGAGAAUUACCCAGCCCCACUGGUGAUAGUGCUGGACUUGAGAUCUGCCUGUGUUCAUGUCUGUAACAACUAGUUUAGAGCGCAGGGAAGUUCCAAGCAAGGGCCAGGGUAUGGGAGAGGUCAGCUCUGGAUGCAAGAAAUGAGGGAAGGGGCAAGAAUUUUUCUGGAGAAAAUUUAAAAUUAUUUACAAUCCUGACUAAAGUCAACCUGCUUCUAUUAUCACCAUGCACUAGAAAUGCUAAAAAAAAAAAAAGUGAUAAAACUCUCCUCACUGAACAAAUAUUUUGUCUGUUCUAAAUAAUUACCACAGUUUUACUAUCAAGUUUAAAAAAAUGUACAUGUAAGCUUCAAAAUUACCACACUUUUAUUAACUUUAAUAAACAUAUCUUAUAUGAAAGUAAGUUGGAGAACUGCCAGGUAUGUAAUUGGCCUCUGAUACACAUAGUCUCAGAUACCUAUUCGGUAGUAAGUUUGUGAUUGUCUGGAAUCAGCUGAGCACACUUUUCAACACAGCUGAUUUGCAGUCUCUGUGAUACUAUAUAUUCCCACAUUUAAUAGCUGUUUGGAGUAAAUGAUAGAAUAAUAGCUGUGAAUUUUGUAGUUCUCUAUUUUUUUUUCUGAUGUGAAGUUUUAGAUGAGGUGUAUCAGAUUAAAAAAUUUGCAGAAAGCUGGAAUCAUCCUUGAAUGUUGUACCAUGAAAUGCCAAGCUUUAAAAUCAUUUCUUGAAAAGAGGCAUACAGGAAAUGUGGAAAGUGAUACGAACCUGCAGCACCAACAAGUGAAAAAAGGUAAGAGAACGGACAUUCACAUAGAAAAAAGAAUCAAAUUUCAGAGAACGGGAGAAGAAACAACAGAAGAUGCUGGUAUUACAUCGCCAUUAGCAGAGCAGAAGAGCAAUAGGUGAAUGCCUCGAGGGUUUUCACUAAAAAUGGACGCUUGCUUUGAAACAGUGGAUUAAAUAAGUUUCGUUAUCCUUCAGCCAGUUUCUCUGAUUUUUGCAGAAGAAAAAAAUGUGUAGUUGUAACCAGUAUUAUGAUAAACCAGAAGUUUAUGAUGAAUUUUAAUGUGAAAAUAUUUUAGUGGAAAUAUUUUUAACUGGAACCAUUUAGCAUACAUCCUGAAGAAACAGAGACACGGAUAAUAUUACAGUUUCUGGAAUUUAUUGUGAAUGAGAUUAUAAUGAUUCACUGCCAAAUAUUUUCUAAGGUUUAAGACUUAGACUAGUAGCAUAUAGGUACACGUCGCUUCUUGUGAAAGAAACAUCAACAUUAAAAUUAACUGAAAGUGUUCUUGAGCUAUAAAUGAAGAGAAAUGGACAAAUAUGGCUAUAUUAUCUAUUAAACACGAAUAUAUGAAGAUCAAUUUUGUAUAAAGUUUUUGAUAAAUAUGCAGAGAAGUUCAAGCUUGAAAAUAAAAAUAAUAUUAUCAUUGAAUGCUCUGACAGACCAAUAUCCAGUAAUAAAUUUUCAGGUGUGUAGUAUAUUAAUGUAGUUAAAAAGUAUGGUUUCAGUUGAGGAAUGAGCAUAAUUCUGACAUGAAUAUUGAUUGGUAUUUUUAUUUACAUUAGUGAGUAGAUGAAAGUGAAAGUAGUGAAGAUAUAUGUUGAAACUUCAUUUGUUCAUAAAUGACAAGAGCACUUCUCACUGAAUUGGCUAUGGUUUUUGAUUACAGGAAGAACAUUGCACUAUCCACAGUGGAUGACGUAGACAAAGCAAACUUUUAAACUUAAUCUGUGUUGUUAAAAUUUUCUCCUUUGUUGUCAUAAGGCUUAGGGUCAAUCAAUAAAACAGUUAAGCAAGA